rnacentral:rRNA from 1 species
UGGGGAAUCUUGCGCAAUGCGCGAAAGCGUGACGCAGCAACGCCGCGUGGGGGAAGAAGGUCUUCGGAUUGUAAACCCCUUUCAGUUGGGACGAAGCUUCCAGGGUUAAUAGCUCUGUGGAGUGACGGUACCUUCAGAAGAAGCCCCGGCUAACUACGUGCCAGCAGCCGCGGUAAUACGUAGGGGGCAAGCGUUGUCCGGAAUCAUUGGGCGUAAAGCGCGUGUAGGCGGUCCGGUAAGUCCGCUGUGAAAGUCGGGGGCUCAACCCUCGGAUGCCGGUGGAUACUGUCGGGCUUGAGUACGGAAGAGGCGAGUGGAAUUCCUGGUGUAGCGGUGAAAUGCGCAGAUAUCAGGAGGAACACCAAUUGCGAAGGCAGCUCGCUGGGACGUUACUGGCGCUGAGACGCGAAAGCGUGGGGAGCAAAC